AGUUCGAUCCUGGCUCAGAUUGAACGCUGGCGGGAUGCUUUACACAUGCAAGUCGAACGGCAGCACGGACUUCGGUCUGGUGGCGAGUGGCGAACGGGUGAGUAAUGUAUCGGAACGUGCCUAGUAGCGGGGAUAACUACGCGAAAGCGUAGCGAAUACCGCAUACGCCCUUCGGGGGAAAGCGGGGGACCUUCGGGCCUCGCACUAUUAGAGCGGCCGAUAUCGGAUUAGCUAGUUGGUGGGGUAACGGCUCACCAAGGCGACGAUCCAGCUGGUUUGAGAGGACGACCAGCCACAUCGGGACUGAGACACGGCCCAGAUCUACGGGAGGCAGUGGGGAAUUUUGGACAAUGGGGGAAAUCCCUGAUCCAGCCAUCCUGCGUGCGAUGAAGGCCUUCGGGUUGUAAAGCACUUGGCAGGAAGAACGGCACGGGAUAAUACCCCCGUGCAACUGACGGUACCUGCAACAGCACCGGCUAACUACGCCGUAGCAGCCGCGUAAUACGUAGGGUGCUAAUCGGAAUUACUGGGCGUAAAAGCGUGUGCAGGCGGUUCGGAAAGAAAGAUGUGAAAUCCCAGAGCUUAACUUUGGAACUGGGAUGAACUUACUUGAGCUAGAGGCCAGGAGGGAGGUGGACCCGCGUGUAGCAGUGAAUGUGCAGAUAUGCGGAGGAACACCGAUGGCGAAGCAGCCUGGGAUAACACUGACGCUCAUGCACGAAAGCGUGGGGAGCAAACAGGAUUAGAUACCCUGGUAGUCUCACGCCUCGAAACGAUGUCAACUAGCUGCUGGGGCCUUCGGCCUUGGUAGCAGCUAACGCGGUUAACGCCCGGGGAGCAUGGCUCUAAGAUUAAACUCAAAGGAAUUGACGGGACCCGCACAAGCGGUGGAUGAUGUGGAUUAAUUCGAUGCAACGCGAAAAACCUUACCUACCCUUGACAUGUCUGGAAUCCUGAAGAGAUUUGGGAGUGCUCGCAAGAGAACCGAACAACACAGGUGCUGCAUGGCUGUCGUCAGCUCGUGUCGAGAUGUUGGGUUAAGUCCUGCAACGAGCGCAACCCUUGUCAUUAGUUGCUACGAAAGGGCACUCUAAUGAGAUCAAGCGGUGACAAACCGAGGAAGGUGGGGAUGACGUCAAGUCCUCAUGGCCCUUAUGGGUAGGGCUUCACACGUCAUACAAUGGUCGGGACAGAGGGUCGCCAACUCAUGAGGGGGAGCCAAUCCCAGAAACCCGAUCGUAGUCCGGAUCGCAGUCUGCAACUCGACUGCGUGAAGUCGGAAUCGCUAGUAAUCGCGGAUCAGCACGUCAAGGUGAAUACGUUCCCGGGUCUUGCACACCGCCCGUCACACCAUGGGAGUGGGUUUCACCAGAAGUAGUUAGCCUAACCGUAAGGAGGGCGAUUACCACGGUAGGAUUCAUGACUGGGGUGAAGUCGUAACAAGGUAACU
rnacentral:rRNA from 1 species